UACGUAGGUGCGAGCGUUAAUCGGAAUUAUUGGCGUAAAGGGCUCGUAGCGGUGUCGCGUUCGGGAGUGAAUCCACUGGCUUAACUGGUGCUUGCUUUCGAUACGGGCAGACUGGAGUAUGCAGGGGAGAACGGAAUUCCUGGUGUAGCGGUGAAAUGCGCAGAUAUCAGAGGAACACCGGUGCGAAGCGGUCUCUGGGCAUGUCCUGACGCUGAGGAAGCGAAAGUGUGGGGGGGAGCGAACAGG
rnacentral:rRNA from 1 species